rnacentral:pre_miRNA from 1 species
UUAGCUCAUAUUUGUAUGGAAUGGGAUCGUUUGCGUGCGUUUGCCGCUAGGGGCGCUGUUCCAAUUGCAUACAAAAUUGGCUUA